UCCACACCGCCCCCACUCUCCACCCCACGCCCCCCGCGCUCCACGCACACCGAGCCAGAAGACACCGCGGGACGGUACAGACCGGCACGGAUUCACUCCGCCGGCCCGGGUGCGCAAACAAGACGCGUCGCUACGCUGCUGUCAGCGUAGACGCUCACGCCACCGCCCCGCCACUGCCACUGCCGUCACAAAUGAAACGCUUUCCAGCAGCAGCUACAGCAGCUACAGCAGCUACAACAGCAUCAGCAUCAGCAGACAAAAGAGAUUCCACUCCCAGAGACCGCUCGCCCCGUUGCAUUGUCCUCGUAGAAGCAGAAGCAGCGGCGGUGGCGGCGGCAGCAGCGGCGGCAGCAGCAGGGACAGAAGCAGCGACAGCAGCAGGGGCAGCAGCAGGGGCAGCAGCAGGGACAGCAGCAGGGACAGCAGCAGGGACAGCAGCAGGGGCUACUGAGUGCGUGGAGAAGCGAUGACGCCACCGGUGCACCUGCGGCCACGCCGCGGGUCACAGCGCCAGGCCCUGCCUGGCAGGUGACCCCCCCCGCCUCUCCCCACUUCCACCGAAGUCACCCCAAGGACGCCGUGGCCAGUUGCCGCGACCCGAAUCUUCAGCUUUCGUCUUCUCCUCGUCCCAGGGGCCGCGUCUCGUUGUCCUCGUUCCACGCGCGGCGUGCAGAUUGAAACAGAUGGAGGAUGAGUCCACACUCGCCGUAUCGCCUUCUCCCGGGGGAGCCGGGGGUACGACGGCCGCUCUUUGACGCCCGAGCGAGUUUCACGACGCUCUGUGUGCGAGCCACCGAAACAUCCGAGCUGCCCACGCAGCCCUGGCCGGUCCGUUUUGCGCAGCGCUGGAUCGCAGGCUUGCGACGCAUCGCCGCUCCUGCGCCCGGCGGAUUUUAAAUUGACCGGCGGCCGAGGUGCCGAGAUUAAUAACGAAGACGGAGCGAGACGGAGCGAGCGUGGAGAAGUUUCCGUCGCCGGGCGUCUUCGAGCAAUCUUGCUUCAUUACGUGAGAUGGAUGGCCUUGGCUGCCGGUUUGCCCGUGUCAUCGUGACUCUCUCCUCAAUGUCCUCGCGUCACGGUGACUUGCAGGGCACUCAACUGGUUCAUUCGUUGCUGCUGUGGCUUCAAGCCAACGUUGCCACCGCCACCACCACUGACGGUCGCCACGUCUACUACCAUCACCACCACGGCCAUCUCAACCGCUGCUACCAACACAAAGACAAAGAUC